UACGUAGGGGGGCUAGCGUUGUCCGGAAUCAUUGGGCGUAAAGAGCGCGUAGGCGGCCAGAUAAGUCCGGUGUGAAAGUCACAGGCUCAACCUGUGAAUGCCGCUGGAAACUGUCUGGCUAGAGUCCGGGAGGGGCGAGUGGAAUCCUGGUGUAGCGGUGAAAUGCGCAGAUAUCAGGAGGAACACCAAUGGCGAAGGCAGCUCGCUGGAACGGUACUGACGCUGAGGCGCGAAAGCGUGGGGAGCGAACAGG
rnacentral:rRNA from 1 species